rnacentral:lncRNA from 1 species
AACGCGAACAAUAUUUUACCCAAAAAUUGUUUUGUAGUGAGUCGAAACUUAGGAUGUGGCUCCAAUAUCUUUCAUACAAGACUCUCAACACUUUCUGAAUGCUUGGCCAUGGUUCCUUUUCCAAGUCUAUUUUCCCUCAUAUAAUGGCAUGAGCAACACCUUGUUUAGAUUAUGCACACACACUAUCUGUAGAUGGAUAAGUAGAUGGAAGAUUAAUCACGAUAGAAGAAAUAUGGGGUUCUGCUUCUGGCGACAACAUGCUUGGUCGUGCUCUCCCUUUCGAGGUACAAAAAGAGUAUGGUACAUAGGAGGUUGGUCUUUCUCAACGUGGUUUGCAAAAAUGAUUUAAAAAAAGGAAUAACAUUCACCCUCUUAUUCGUCAUGUUGACCAAGUCCCUAUUGCUUAUGUGAGAAAAUUUCAUUGCGUAUACCAUUCCAAUCUGCAAACAACGUAAUUACAAAUAGGAUUUCAUAAACACCACUCCAUGAAAUAUAUGGAGAAAUGAUAGAGCUCCGACAAAGAAAAUUACUUGCAGGACCAACAAAAUUAUAUACAUGAGAAAUAAUUGUUCUUGUAGUAGCUCCUAGAUAGAAGACACCGAGCACCAGGUUUCAAAACAAAAUAGACCUGAAAGUAAAUUGUGCAGAUAAGAUUAUUGGAUAUAUAAAAUGCAUCAACAUUAAUGACAAAAACACACAUCUUAUCAGGGUAAUAGAUAUAAAUAAAAUAUUAGACAAAUAUCAUUGACUCCACCAAGAAUGGCAACUAUCAAUUUCGAGUAGAAAGGAUUGCAUACUCUGUAUUCAACCUUUCUUACAUCUUCAUCUUGACCGAUUAAAUAAAAUACAUAAAUCAACACUAAAAAACAAAACAAAAAUAGCUAAAAUCAUGGAAAAUAAUAACUCUUUGAAUACUUGGCUACGCUUAAAAAAGUACAUUAUUUACAAACGCGUUUACCCUUCUUACUUUCAAAUAAUAACAAGUUACAACCUUGACCAAUAAAAAAUAUGCUUAUUACACAACUUUCUUAUUCACCUAAUAAAUAUAAGUAAAGCUUAAGCUUAGCCAAAUAUGCUCCGAACAAGGACGUUUGAGAAUAUGAUAGGCGAGGAACCACUUAUAUUAACACACACUCAUCAGCCAAAGAUAUUGAUUUAUCUUAGUAAUCAAGAAAUGUCAUAAAUAGAGUAAAAUGAAUAUAUAGAAUAUACAUAAACUCAAAUCCAAACCUAAAUAGAGAUUCUUAUAGAUACAGAAGACAAUUCUUGUUCAAGCUCAAUCACAUUUAAUCACACCUAAUAUGAAGAAUGAUUUAUAUUCACUCAAGUCUAAUAAAUAAUGUCAAGAGAAACAGACCUGCAAAGACAGGUGGAAUGCUUACAGGAACUUGUGAGUCUCUAGCUUUAUGUUUGACAUCAGUAGUAGAGAAAAUAUUGUAAACGAGCACAGAGGUAACGACAAUUUCAGCACCUAGGGCAUCACCCUUCGUGUAACUGUAGGCUACUACAUUAGCACCACCACCCUUGGUCAUGUACAGGGUCUUUCCGAAUCCCUUAAUCAUACCAACACCACAUAUGGCUCUCAUAGAACUAUAGAUUUUUGUAAUUGUGUGAAAUAAUAGG